UCAUAUCACGUUGAAACACCUGUUCCCGUACAACGACCGAAUUUAAGCAACGUCGAACCUGGGCAGUACCUGAUUAGGUGACAGCUUGGGAAUACCAGGUGCUGUAAG